GAUAUAUAAUUGUAGUAAAGUUGAAUACUAAAGAAAAUAGUAUUUAUUAAAAGGGAAUUCGGUUUAAUUCCGUAACAGCCCCCGCUACUGUAAUUGGCUAAUAAUUUUUCAAUAUGUCACUGAGAUUUUUUUCUUGGGAAGGCGAAAAAUUGUGCUUGAUGCCAUAAGUCAGGAGACCUGCUUUACGCAAGAAAACAAU
rnacentral:ncRNA from 2 species